CAGUGGUCAUUAAUACAUGUAAAACUUUGGAGGAUCAGGAUGGCUCUAAAAGAAGUAAAUAUGAGAAACAAAGCAGUAGAAAGCAGAAGCACACAGGAGAAGAUACAUCUGAACUUCUCAUCAUUCAGAAGGAAAUGUUGGAGAUAAUGAGGGAAGAUGUUGCCAUCAAGAGGAGAAUACUGGCGUCUUUG